rnacentral:rRNA from 1 species
GACGAACGCUGGCGGCGUGCUUAACACAUGCAAGUCGAACGGAAAGGCCCUGCUUUUGUGGGGUGCUCGAGUGGCGAACGGGUGAGUAACACGUGAGUAACCUGCCCUUGACUUUGGGAUAACUUCAGGAAACUGGGGCUAAUACCGGAUAGGAGCUCCUGCUGCAUGGUGGGGGUUGGAAAGUUUCGGCGGUUGGGGAUGGACUCGCGGCUUAUCAGCUUGUUGGUGGGGUAGUGGCUUACCAAGGCUUUGACGGGUAGCCGGCCUGAGAGGGUGACCGGCGACGUUGGUACUGAGAGACGGAGCAGGAUGCUCGAGGACGCAACGGGCGAGAGUCUGACGCAGUGGCCCGGCGCGUGAUCCGCACGCGUCGCGAGCGUGAUGCCAUCCUUCGGGGUAAAAACCACCUUCCCCUGUACCGAAGCGUUAGUGACGGUAAUGAAUCAGAAAGCACCGGCUAACUACGUG